GAAGACUCCAGCUCCAUGGGAUAUCUCUGAAGCCACAUUCAUAUGUUCUUCCAAACCUCUGGGGCUGUCUGUUGUAGCUGCCAGUUGAGGCCAAAGAGAUGCAUUGCUGUGGGUAAAGAGUACAAGUUGUUUAAAGUCCUGCUGCUUUUUAGCUGCAAUAGUAAAAGAAAAUCUCAAUAAAAUGGGAUUCUGGUUCUACUCAAGAUGCU